AUGAACGCUGGCGGCGUGCCUAAUACCUGCAAGUCGAGCGAACGGACGAGAAGCUUGCUUCUCUGAUGUUAGCGGCGGACGGGUGAGUAACACGUGGAUAACCUACCUAUAAGACUGGGAUAACUUCGGGAAACCGGAGCUAAUACCGGAUGAUAUUUUGAACCGCAUGGUUCAAAAGUGAAAGACGGUCUUGCUGUCACUUAUAGAUGGAUCCGCGCUGCAUUAGCUAGUUGGUAAGGUAACGGCUUACCAAGGCAACGAUGCAUAGCCGACCUGAGAGGGUGAUCGGCCACACUGGAACUGGGACACGGUCCAGACUCCUACGGGAGGCAGCAGUAGGGAAUCUUCCGCAAUGGGCGAAAGCCUGACGGAGCAACGCCGCGUGAGUGAUGAAGGUCUUCGGAUCGUAAAACUCUGUUAUUAGGGAAGAACAUAUGUGUAAGUAACUGUGCACAUCUUGACGGUACCUAAUCAGAAAGCCACGGCUAACUACGUG
rnacentral:rRNA from 1 species